UACGGAGGGUGCGAGCGUUGUCCGGAAUCACUGGGCGUAAAGGGCGCGUAGGCGGCGCGGAUAGUCGGCGGUGAAAGCCCGGAGCUCAACUCCGGGUCGGCCGUCGAUACUUCCGGGCUUGAGCACUGUAGAGGCAGAUGGAAUUCCGCGUGUAGCAGUGAAAUGCGUAGAUAUGCGGAGGAACACCGAUGGCGAAGGCAAUCCCCUGGACCUGUACUGACGCUCAUGCACGAAAGCGUGGGGAGCAAACAGG
rnacentral:rRNA from 1 species